UACGUAGGUGGCGAACGUUAUCCGGAAUUAUUGGGCGUAAAGGGUCUGCAGGUGGUUUUACAAGUUGAGUGUGAAAGCUCUUAGCUUAACUAAGAAAUUGUACUCAAAACUGUAAGACUAGAGUAUGUCAGAGGUUAGUGGAAUUCUGGGAGUAGGGGUAAAAUCCAUUGAUACCCAGAGGAACACCAAUAGCGAAGGCGACUAACUGGGACAUUACUGACACUCAUAGACGAAAGCGUGGGGAGCGAAC
rnacentral:rRNA from 1 species